UACGUAGGCAGCAAGCGUUGUUCGGAGUUACUGGGCGUAAAGGGUGUGUAGGCGGUUGCUUAAGUUUGGUGUGAAAUCUCCCGGCUCAGCUGGGAGGGUGCGCCGAAUACUGAGUGACUCGAGUGCGGGAGAGGAAAGUGGAAUUCCAGGUGUAGCGGUGAAAUGCGUAGAUAUCUGGAGGAACACCGGUGGCGAAGGCGGCAUCCUGGACCACGACUGACGCUGAGUGAGCGAAAGCCAGGGGAGCAAACGGG
rnacentral:rRNA from 1 species